GACGCACGCUGGCGGCGUGCAUAAUACAUGCAAGUAGAACGCAGUUGCGAACGGGUGAGAAACGCGUAGGUAACGGCCUAACCGCGGGGGAUAACUAGUGGAAAAGAUAGCCAAUACCGCAUACUGUGAGAUGGACCUGCGUUGUAUUAGCUAGUUGGUGAGGUAAAGGAUCACCAAGGCGACGAUACAUAGCCGACCUGAGAGGGUGAUCAGCCACAAUGGGACGUAGACACGGCCCAUAAUCCUACGGGAUGCAGCAGCUGGGUAUCUUCGCCAAAUGGCGGAAUUCUGACCACGCAACGCCGCGUGAGUGUAGAAGGUUUUCAGAUCGUGCAGCUCUGUUGUUAGAGAAGCGGUAACUAACCAGAAAGGGACGGCUAACUACGUGCCAGCAGCCGCGGUAAUAC
rnacentral:rRNA from 1 species